rnacentral:lncRNA from 1 species
GUUUGAGUUUGAUUCUCAAAAAGGAGCAGGGUGGGGUGGCUUUGGUGGGUAGCGGUAGGAGGGGGCUUCUCAGUGUGUGGGUGGGAAGUGCAGGUAGGAUAUCUGGGUCCCUUCAGAGAGGGGCAAGGGGCUAGGGGAGGCCUGGGACUUUUUUUUUUUGAGACAGGGUCUUGCUUUUUCACCCAGGCUGGAGUGCAGUGGUGAGAUCUUAGCUCACUGCAACCUCUGUCUCCCAGGCUCAAGUGAUCCUCCCACCUCACCCUCCUGAGUAGCUGGGGUCACAGGCGCGCAUCAGCAGUCCUGGCUAUUUUAUUUUAUUUUAUUUUUUGUAUUUUUAGUAGAGACGGGGUCUCACCAUGUUGCCCAGGCUGGUCUUGAACUUCUGAGCUCAAGCGAUGCAUCCGCCUCGGCCUCCUAAAGUGCUGGGAUUACAGGCGUGAGCCAUUUUGCCCUGCCACGGGACUCUUCUUGGAGAGGGGAGGGGAAGGGCUGGGAGCUACCGAGAGGUGGGACUUGGACACAGCGCCUUGUCGAAGAUUUGACUCAAAGUGGAUACAAAUGAAGUGAAUGACAUGAAAAGAUGCUCCACAAUGUGAUCCACUAAGGAAAUGAACAUCAAAACCACAGUGAAUGCUGCUUCACACCCACUACGAUGACUGUCAUAAACAAGACAGACAAUCACAAGUGUUGGCAAGGAUAUGGAGAAAUAAUUGGAACCCUCUACGCUGUUGGUGGGAAUGUAAAAUGGUGCAGCUGCUUUGGAAAACAGUUUGGCAGCUCCCCAAAAUGUUAAACACAGGGCUAGAGCAUUCCUACGUAUAUAUAUAUCCCAGAGAAUUGGAAGCAUAUAUCUACCCAAAGACUUGUGGAAACAACCUAAAUGUCCAUCAGUUGAAGAAUGGAUAAUCAAAAUGUGGUCUGCUCAUACAACGGAAAAUUCUUUGGCCAUUAAAAGGAAUGAUUUUUUGUUUGUUUGUUUGUUUUGAGAUAGGGUCUUGUGCUGUCUCCCAGAGUGGAGCGCAGUGGCACAAUCUCAGCUCACUGCAUCUUCGAUCUUCCGGGCUCAAGCAAUCCUCCUGCCUCAGCCUCCUGAGUAGCUGGGACCACAGGUGCAUGUCACUCCCUGCUAAUAGGAAUGAAGUAUCUCAAAAAAAACAUAAUGCUAAGUGAAAGAAGCCAGUCAC